GGGUGGAGCACAACGUCGAAAGCAGCCGUUGGGAGCCCAGGAGGCGGGGCGCCUGUGGGAGCCGUGGAGGGAACUUUCCCAGUCCCCGAGGCGGAUCCGGUGUUGCAUCCUUGGAGCGAGCUGAGAGCUCGAGUACAGAACCUGCUAAGGCCAUCAAACCUAUUGAUCGGAAGUCAGUCCAUCAGAUUUGCUCUGGGCCGGUGGUACCGAGUCUAAGCACUGCGGUGAAGGAGUUAGUAGAAAACAGUCUGGAUGCUGGUGCCACUAAUAUUGAUCUAAAGCUUAAGGACUAUGGAGUGGAUCUCAUUGAAGUUUCAGGCAAUGGAUGUGGGGUAGAAGAAGAAAACUUCGAAGGCUUAAUGAUGUCACCAUUUCUACCUGCCAUGUAUCGGCGAAGGUUGGGACUCGACUGGUGUUUGAUCACUAUGGGAAAAUCAUCCAGAAAACCCCCUACCCCCACCCCAGAGGGAUGACAGUCAGUGUGAAGCAGUUAUUUUCUACGCUACCUGUGCACCAUAAAGAAUUUCAAAGGAAUAUUAAGAAGGUACAGUAAAUUAAUCCUGGUUUUCAAGAAUAUUGGUUAAUGCACAUGAGCAAAAGAUUUACUAAAGAUGUUUAUUCUUCAGUUGAUUCCCUUCCCCUAAUUUAUUGAGAAAUGCUUUAUUUGCAUUUCUCAUUAAAGACUUAACUUCAGAAUGA
rnacentral:lncRNA from 1 species